rnacentral:rRNA from 1 species
UACGUAGGGUGCAGGCGUUAAUCGGAAUUACUGGGCGUAAAGCGUGCGCAGGCGGCUCCUUAAGUCAGAUGUGAAAUCCCCGGGCUUAACCUGGGAACUGCGUUUGAAACUGGAAGGCUUGAGUGUGGCAGAGGGGGGUGGAAUUCCACGUGUAGCAGUGAAAUGCGUAGAUAUGUGGAGGAACACCGAUGGCGAAGGCAGCCCCCUGGGCUAACACUGACGCUCAUGCACGAAAGCGUGGGGAGCAAACAGG